GACAACCUGCAAGCGCACUGUGAAACCGUGUUCGAACCCUGAAACGAGUAAGGACCCCUCACCCUAUUUCCUAUCACGAUUUUAAAGUUCAAUAAAUGAUAAAACGGUAUUUCAUGAAUCAACGAAUGUGUGAAAUUGCUUAAGGUCGCUAAUGGAGCCCGAGUCUAGUGUGUUUGUCGGUUAACUGUUAUUUGACCUGUUUUACAGUUUUAAAUGCAGC
rnacentral:lncRNA from 1 species